CCUCCAAGCUCUGCCGGUGCACUCUAGCCAGUACUAUUUAUAGGGAACAGAGCAAACCAAUUGUCAAAAUAUCUCUGAAACUGUCACGUUAGUUAAUAUGGGUAGCCCUAAAUCAUGUCGGGAGGUAAAACGGUACCCUAUAGUCUGCAUGGCUACGGAGCCCUAUACGGACGUCGAGAUUCACAUGACAAGAAAACAAACAAACAAAAAAUCCUGGAAGUUAUUGCCGGAACUGGCGGUCAUCCGAAAGGAGGGGGGCGUUGAGAGGAGACGAGACUGCAAAUCCCGAAUCCUGCAAACUGGAUUGCAGUCAUGCGCAGCCUCUUCACGUCCUCAUGCAAAGUGGCCCACCGCAGCUCCGCAGCUACGACCAGAAUGCUAAAGACAGAAUGCUAAAAGCGGAAUGCUAAAGGCUGGUGCCGCCUGACACAGAGUGACCGCGCCAAAC